GAUGAACGCUGGCGGCGUGCCUAAUACAUGCAAGUCGAGCGAACAGACGAGGAGCUUGCUCCUCUGACGUUAGCGGCGGACGGGUGAGUAACACGUGGAUAACCUACCUAUAAGACUGGGAUAACUUCGGGAAACCGGAGCUAAUACCGGAUAAUAUAUUGAACCGCAUGGUUCAAUAGUGAAAGACGGUUUUGCUGUCACUUAUAGAUGGAUCCGCGCCGCAUUAGCUAGUUGGUAAGGUAACGGCUUACCAAGGCAACGAUGCGUAGCCGACCUGAGAGGGGGAUCGGCCACACUGGAAACGAGACAAGGGCCAGAAUCCUAAGGGAGGGAGGAGUAGGGAAUCUUCCGCAAAGGGGGAAAGGCUGAAGGAGCAAAGGCGCGGGAGGGAAGAAGGUUUUCGGAUUGGAAAACUCUGUUAUUAGGGAAGAACAAAUGUGUAAGUAACUAUGCACGUCUUGACGGUACCUAAUCAGAAAGCCACGGCUAACUACGUG
rnacentral:rRNA from 1 species